GAAUGUGAGGGCAAUCUGGCUACAACAUCUGUCACCCAUUGACUUCCAGGGUUAAUUCGGCUGAUCUGGCUCACUAGGCAGGUGUCCACUUCCUCCUCUACCACUCCAUGUGUGUCCCUCCCAAAGCUGUGUGCUCAGCUGAAAAGGACAACCACCCCCGAUAGAAGACUGUUUCUUUAGUUAAGGGUAUUCAAGUAGCUGUACACCCCUGCUAGAACCUCCAAACAAGCUCUCAUGAACAAGGGGGUCUGCAUUUUACACAGGGUGUUUAAAAACUGUCUCAUGAAAAAGAUGAUGUCAGAGUAU
rnacentral:snRNA from 1 species